rnacentral:rRNA from 1 species
UACGUAGGGAGCGAGCGUUGUCCGGAUUUACUGGGUGUAAAGGGUGCGUAGGCGGCUUUGCAAGUCAGCUGUGAAAUCUAUGGGCUCAACCCAUAAAUUGCAGUUGAAACUGUAGAGCUUGAGUGAAGUAGAGGUAGGCGGAAUUCCCAGUGUAGCGGUGAAAUGCGUAGAGAUUGGGAGGAACACCAGUGGCGAAGGCGGCCUACUGGGCUUUAACUGACGCUGAGGCACGAAAGCGUGGGUAGCAAAC